rnacentral:rRNA from 1 species
GUCCUCUAUGUUUGAAGUUGGAGGUCUGACCUGCCCAGUGAUUUUAUUUAACGGCCGCGGUAUUUUGACCGUGCAAAGGUAGCAUAAUAAUUAGUCUUUUAAUUGAGGGCUAGAAUGAAUGGUUGGACGAGGGGAGGGCUGUCUCAGUUGAAUAAUAAUGAAUUUUACUUUUUGGUGAAAAGGCCUAAAUUGUCUAGUGGGACGAUAAGACCCUGUAGAUCUUUAUAUGUUGUUUAUAAUUAUUUUAUUAAUUGGUUAGUACUUGUGAAUUAAUAUAUUUUGCUGGGGCGGCAGGGAGAUUCAUUUAACUCUUUUUUAACUAAUCAUUUAUUUAUGUUUUGUUGAUCCAUUUCUUGUGAUUUUAAGAUUAAGUUACCUCAGGGAUAACAGCGUAAUCUUUCUUGAGAGUUCUAAUCGACGGGGGGGAUUGCGACCUCGAUGUUGGAUUAGGAUUUAAAUUUUGGUGUAGAAGCUUUAAUUAUUGAGUCUGUUCGACUAUUAAAAUCCUACA